AUUGAACGCUAGCGGGAUGCUUUACACAUGCAAGUCGAACGGCAGCGCGGACUUCGGUCUGGCGGCGAGUGGCGAACGGGUGAGUAAUGUAUCGGAACGUGCCCAGUAGCGGGGGAUAACUACGCGAAAGCGUAGCUAAUACCGCAUACGCCCUACGGGGGUAAGCAGGGGAUCGUAAGACCUUGCACUAUUGGAGCGGCCGAUAUCGGAUUAGCUAGUUGGUGAGGUAACGGCUCACCAAGGCGACGAUCCGUAGCUGGUUUGAGAGGACGACCAGCCACACUGGGACUGAGACACGGCCCAGACUCCUACGGGAGGCAGCAGUGGGGAAUUUUGGACAAUGGGGGCAACCCUGAUCCAGCCAUCCCGCGUGUGCGAUGAAGGCCUUCGGGUUGUAAAGCACUUUUGGCAGGAAAGAAACGUCGCGGGCUAAUACCCCGUGGAACUGACGGUACCUGCAGAAUAAGCACCGGCUAACUACGUG
rnacentral:rRNA from 1 species